CCUACGGGUGGCAGCAGUGAGGAAUAUUGGUCAAUGGGCGCGAGCCUGAACCAGCCAAGUAGCGUGAAGGAUGACUGCCCUACGGGGUGUAAACUUCGUUUAUAAAGGAAUAAAGUGAGGCACGUGUGCCUUUGUGUAUGUACUGUAUGAAUAAGGAGCGGCUAACUCCGUGCCAGCAGCCGCGGUAAUACGGAGGAUCCGAGCGUUAUCCGGAUUUAUUGGGUUUAAAGGGAGCGUAGAUGGGUUGUUAAGUCAGUUGUGAAAGUUUGCGGCUCAACCGUAAAAUUGCAAUUGAUACUGGCAGUCUUGAGUACCGUUGCGGUAGGCGGAAUUCGUGUUGUAGCGGUGACAUGCUUCGCUCUCCC
rnacentral:rRNA from 1 species